AUUGAACGCUGGCGGCAUGCUUUACACAUGCAAGUCGAACGGUAACAGCACUUCGGUGGCUGACGAGUGGCGAACGGGUGAGUAAUACAUCGGAACGUGCCUAGUAGUUGGGGAUAACUACUCGAAAGAGUAGCUAAUACCGCAUGAGAUCUAAGGAUGAAAGCAGGGGACCUUCGUGCCUUGCGCUACUAGAGCGGCUGAUGGCAGAUUAGGUAGUUGGUGGGAUAAAAGCUUACCAAGCCGACGAUCUGUAGCUGGUCUGAGAGGACGACCAGCCACACUGGGACUGAGACACGGCCCAGACUCCUACGGGAGGCAGCAGUGGGGAAUUUUGGAAAAUGGGCGCAAGACUGAUCCAGCAAUGCCGCGUGCAGGAUGAAGGCCUUCGGGUUGUAAACUGCUUUUGUACGGAACGAAAAGCCCUCUUCUAAUACAGGAGGGUCAUGACGGUACCGUAAGAAUAAGCACCGGCUAACUACGU
rnacentral:rRNA from 1 species